rnacentral:rRNA from 1 species
AUUGAACGCUGGCGGCAGGCCUAACACAUGCAAGUCGAGCGAGCGGCGGACGGGGGAGUAAUGUAUGGGGACUGCCCGAUAGAGGGGGAUAACUACUGGAAACGGUAGCUAAUACCGCAUACUAUCGGAUAACCCAUAUGGGAUUAGCUAGUAGGUGAGGUAAUGGCUUACCUAGGCGACGAUACCUAGCUUGUCUGAGAGGAUGCUCAGCCACACUGGGACGGAGACACGGCCCAUACUCCUACGCAGGCAGCAGUGGGGAAUAUUGCACAAUGGGCGCAAGCCUGCUGCAGACAUGCCGCGUGUAUGAAGACGGCCCUAGGGUUGUAAAGUACUUUCAGUCGGGAGGCGUUACCGACAGAAGAAGCACCGGCUAACUCCGUGCCAGCAGCCGCGGUAAUAC